GUAACUUUCUGUAAAAUAGAAGCAAUAGACUGGAAAUGAUAUCCUUUAUUAAUCGUAAAAAUCUUUUUCGACCCCUUACAAAUGACCCCCCCUUCUCGCUUAUAUACAAACUCAAGACAAUUAAUACCAAACGCGAUCCUAGCUCCAGAAAUCCCGCGAUCUUCAUUAUGGCCUCGUUGACCAAAUAGUUCGCCCGUUACGAUCUCAUCUUGACUGUUCCUUUCGUCUUAGUUCGCGGGCCGAUCGUAAACAGGCCGGAUUCAACUGCGUUACUUUCCUUCUGGGCCUGGACCGUGAAAAGCCCAACUAUCUAUACGGUCUGGCUUAUUUGGACGUCGUGUAGUUGAGUGGUGUCUUUAUGGGUUACUACAAAGCAAAUGGUACUUUUGAACCACUGAACAAACACGACCUCUGACAGCUUCCAGAUUGAUUUGGUGUACAAACAUUCUCAUAGGUAAGAUUUCAGUCUAAACUGAACCUGAUCCGUACCGGAGUUAAUCGAUUCUCUAUGUUCAAUGGAACAACACCUGCUGCAGUAAUUGUGAACAUUAGGCAGGUGGUCAGUUUUUUCUAAGUUAAUGAUAAUGAAUACAUGUACAAACUUGCAGAUCGUACCUUCAUGGUCGUUACGGUUUCUCUGAUGUGUAGGAGUAGUAGAAGUCACAAUUUUAACUGUGUUGAAAUUAGUGAGGUCUAUAUAGAUC